rnacentral:rRNA from 1 species
UACGUAGGGUGCGAGCGUUUGUCCGGAAUUAUUGGGCGUAAAGGGCUCGUAGGCGGUCUGUCGCGUCGGGAGUGAAAACUCAGGGCUUAACCCUGAGCCUGCUUCCGAUACGGGCAGACUAGAGGUAUGCAGGGGAGAGCGGAACUCCUGGUGUAGCGGUGGAAUGCGCAGAUAUCAGGAAGAACACCGGUGGCGAAGGCGGCUCUCUGGGCCUUACCUGACGCUGAGGAGCGAAAGCGUGGGUAGCGAACAGG